AGAAUUAAAAGAUUUCAUAUCGCUUUAUGGACAUUCAGGAGAAUCUUGAUCAGGUUUUGAAGUAAUCCCCAAAAAGUUCCCAGAUACUGUGAGCAAUGGUCACAUUAUUACUACACUGAUGGAGGAAAGUCCCUGAGUUCGUUAGGAUUUAAGGAAUAUGGAGUAGAAGAAUCCCCCUCAGUAGACCCCCAAGAAGACCUCAGAGAUAUAUGGAACAGUGUUCAGGUACCAGAGAAACAUAUGAGUCCACUCUCUUUGCCCUAGUGUGUCUCUGCCUCUCUGUUGUGUUCACUGUGAUUCUCUCCUUCUGAGGCUGUUGACUGCCAUCUCUCUUUCCUACAAUUCCCUACCCCAUGGCCUGUAUUUACUGGUGGCUUCCAUUGUCUCAUUGCUUUGGCUUCUUCUCUCUGGGUCUUUUGUAUCCUUCUUGGUGUCUCAUGCUCAGAUGUUCUAGAAAGGAUGAUCUUAGUGGGUCUGUCAGUCACUACCCAGUGAAGUGUAUCUUUGAUGCACAGAGUGAUUGAUGUAGGUCCCUCCCACUUAGUGGGUCAGUCCAUAGAUGACUGUAGGGCAGGGAGAAAAAGGAGCCUGAAUAGUGACAUGUUAUCCCCAUUUGGAGCCUGUUUUCUCUUAGUCAUCUGUUUGUCCUUAAUAUGCACUGGCAUAUGGAUGUCCAGGCAUCAGGGAUACUGCUCAAACUAUAGGUGUCCUCCCCAUUAUUGAGGUCAACAACCAAUGGAUAUCAACUCGGUGAAUCAAUAUGGUGAAGAAAUGCUAGCUGUGGCCCAAUUACUGGGAGCUGACUAUAAAAUAUUUCAAGAGGAAAACAAACGCAGAUCUCAUUAGGCAUUAUAUAGGCGUGUUCUUGUUAAGAGCUUGUUCGGAGUGGGAACACGGGUAGCUCUGGGAGCCCUGCUGACCAUUAUCUUCCCAUUCACGAAGGCCUUGGGUAAAUUGCAACAUGAUCUCCAGUGUCCACUUCCCAUUUGUUAUUCAGACAAUAAAACAGAUAUAACUCCAUGCAUGACCUUGGAUUUUAAAGAGGUAUCUUGGCUAGCGUUUCGGACUGAAAACAACAACAACAGAAAAUAGUCAUCAAAUCAGUAUGCUCCUCUUCAGAGCCACGGAUCUCUCCAGAAGAUUAUGCCUUGUGGACACAGCUGCCUCUUGGGGCUGAAGGGGUAGCUCACCUCUGGCUUAUUUUGGUCCAUGCUUGCUAGGUGCUCCAAGGGAGUUAACUGGAAUCAGCAGUGGCCUCCCUGAAUUCCGUGGAAAAGACAAGAUGCAUAUGCUUCUGCUAUUACGGUGCUCAGUGUUUGGAAAGGAGCAGUUUUGCAUUGUUAUGCAAACACCAAGGUUUGCAACGUGACCAGAUUUAUUUAUGACCCCUGGAGAGAUGUACUACUUCUAGUGCUGACAGAGUAAUGGCAAAGUCCAGGAGAUCCCCAGAUGGUCUCAGUUGUCCCGGACACUUAGCCAGGCACAAGGCAUUUGCAAAGCUGCUUUUCCCAGGUGUGGGUUUUCAGUUUCUGGCGAUUCCUUCCAAGUGUGAAGCUGGAUCAUACUGGGGAAGACUGUGUGGGUCAGGUCUUCCAGGAUCCUGGCAGCUGCUGAGCAAGUGAGGAAACAAAGAGCCCCUCAGUGUGGUGGGUGAGCGUCAGAGCCGGAAAUCCAGGGAGGGCAUGACAUUGAGCCUUCCAACGUCCGAUCUUUCCAACGUCUUCACAGCCGGAUCUCCUUGUCAGAGCUCUGGAAGAAUGGUAUUUUGUUUCCUCCCCUCCAUUGGCAAGCGAGUCCCAGGCAUCCAAAUGCAGCAAGACAGGACACAUCUUGUAAAGAUUUGCUGCUUAAGUGCUGAACAUGUUCAGACAAGAAGGAAGAAAUUGUUCAAAAAGGAGAUGGGAAGAAAAACAAUUCUCUGAAGAUGGAGGAGUAUCCGUGUCAGGAUGAAGAAAUUGGCAAGUGGAUAAAUGUGACAAAACAGAAAAAGAGAAGGAAAGAAAAUUCACUAGGAGAGAGAGAGAAAGCAUGAGCCAGGGAGUGGCAGAAAGAGACGGAGACACAGAAUCUGAGUUGUCAGCACAGAGCCUGACGCGGGACUGGGACCCAUGAACUGUGAGAUCAUGACCUGGGCCGAAGUCCGACGCUUGACCAACUGAGCCACCCAGGAGUUGGAUGGAGAGUUUCACCAAGCCACAAAUUUUUGAGCUGAGUUUUGAGCUGGAUCUCAAGAUGAGUAGGAAUUUACCAAGGGAGGAAAAAAAAAAAGGAGAGAGAAGAGAGUGCUUCACCAGCAGAGAAAGCAAGCAGCAUGGACCACAGGGUCAUCAAGUGAACACUGAUGAGGCCACAACUGUGCUACUGGUCCAUUGCACUGAGACGGCCAUUAGACCAUCCGGUGAAACUGAAUGUAAGACCAGAAAGGAACCUUGGAGGUGACAAGUGAGUGACGGUGCAU